rnacentral:rRNA from 1 species
CAGCGCGGGAGCAAUCCUGGCGGCGAGUGGCGAACGGGUGAGUAAUACAUCGGAACGUGCCCAAUCGUGGGGGAUAACGCAGCGAAAGCUGUGCUAAUACCGCAUACGAUCUACGGAUGAAAGCAGGGGAUCGCAAGACCUUGCGCGAAUGGAGCGGCCGAUGGCAGAUUAGGUAGUUGGUGAGGUAAAGGCUCACCAAGCCUUCGAUCUGUAGCUGGUCUGAGAGGACGACCAGCCACACUGGGACUGAGACACGGCCCAGACUCCUACGGGAGGCAGCAGUGGGGAAUUUUGGACAAUGGGCGAAAGCCUGAUCCAGCCAUGCCGCGUGCAGGAUGAAGGCCUUCGGGUUGUAAACUGCUUUUGUACGGAACGAAACGGCCUUUUCUAAUAAAGAGGGCUAAUGACGGUACCGUAAGAAUAAGCACCGGCUAACUACGUGCCAGCAGCCGCGGUAAUACGUAGGGUGCAAGCGUUAAUCGGAAUUACUGGGCGUAAAGCGUGCGCAGGCGGUUAUGUAAGACAGUUGUGAAAUCCCCGGGCUCAACCUGGGAACUGCAUCUGUGACUGCAUAGCUAGAGUACGGUAGAGGGGGAUGGAAUUCCGCGUGUAGCAGUGAAAUGCGUAGAUAUGCGGAGGAACACCGAUGGCGAAGGCAAUCCCCUGGACCUGUACUGACGCUCAUGCACG